UACAGAGGGGGCAAGCGUUGUUCGGAAUUAUUGGGCGUAAAGAGCUCGUAGGCGGUUUGUCGCGUCGGCCGUGAAAACUUGGGGCUUAACUCCAAGCUUGCGGUCGAUACGGGCAGACUUGAGUUCGGCAGGGGAGACUGGAAUUCCUGGUGUAGCGGUGAAAUGCGCAGAUAUCAGGAGGAACACCGGUGGCGAAGGCGGGUCUCUGGGCCGACACUGACGCUGAGGAGCGAAAGCGUGGGGAGCGAACAGG
rnacentral:rRNA from 1 species